GGGGUCUUUAAGGGUGGGGGGUCCCCAAUUUGGAGGGGGUCCCCAAUAUGGGGGGGGUCGGUUUAAGGGUAGGGGGUCCCCAAUUCGAUUUGGGGGGGGUACCCAAUAAGGGGGGGGUCCCCAAUACGGGGGGGGUCGGUUUAAGGGUGGGGGGGUCCCCAAUAUGGGGGGGGGUCUUUAAGGGUGGGGGGGUCCCCAAUUUGGGGGGGUCCCAAAAGGGGGGGGGGUUUAUAAGGGUAGGGAGUCCCCAAUUUGGGGGGGGUCCCCGAUUUGGGGGGGGUCCCCGAUUUGGGGGGGGUCGCAGCGCUCCUCACGGUCCCUCGCUGAAUCGGGAGCCCCCCCCGGGCCGGGGCCGAACCGCAGCCUGUGGGGCACACACAGCAUAUGGGGCGGCCGCCCCACAGAGCCCAAUGCGACCCCAUAGGCAACAUUGGGCCCCAUAGAAAACAAUGGGACCCCAUUGACCCCAUAGAAACCAAUGGGAUCCCAUAGACAGCAAUGGGAACCCAUAGAAACCAAUGGGACCCCAUAGGCAACAACGGGGCCCCACUGACCCCAUAGAAACCAAUGGGAUCCCAUAGGCAACAUUGGACCCCAUAGGCAACAACGGGGCCCCAUUGACCCCAUAGAAACCAAUGGGAUCCCAUAGGCAACAUUGGACCCCAUAGGCAACAACGGGGCCCCAUUGACCCCAUAGAAACCAAUGGGAUCCCAUAGGCAGCAAUGGGAACCCAUAGACAGCAAUGGGACCCCAUAGAAACCAAUGGGAUCCCAUAGGCAACAAUGGGAACCCAUAGAAACCAAUGGGACCCCAUAGGCAACAUUGGGCCCCAUAGACAACAACGGGGCCCCAUUGACCCCAUAGAAACCAAUGGGAUCCCAUAGACCGCAAUGGGACCCCAUAGAAACCAAUGGGACCCCAUAGGCAGCAACGGGACCCCAUAGACAGCCAUGGGACCCCAUAGGCAACAACGGGGCCCCAUUGACCCCAUAGGCAAUGAUGGGACCCCAUAGAAACCAAUGGGACCCCAUAGGCAACAAUGGGAUCCCACAGAAACCAAUGGGACCCCAUAGAAACCAAUGGGACCCCAUAGAAACCAAUGGGAUCCCAUAGGCAACAACAGGGCCCCAUUGACCCCAUAGAAACCAAUGGGAUCCCAUAGGCAACAUUGGACCCCAUAGGCAACAACGGGGCCCCAUUGACCCCAUAGAAACCAAUGGGAUCCCAUAGACCGCAAUGGGACCCCAUAGAAACCAAUGGGACCCCAUAGGCAGCAACGGGACCCCAUAGGCAGCAAUGGGAACCCAUAGACAGCAAUGGGACCCCAUAGGCAACAACGGGGCCCCAUUGACCCCAUAGAAAACAAUGGGACCCCAUAGACAGCAAUGGGACCCCAUAGAAACCAAUGGGACCCCAUAGGCAGCAAUGGGAACCCAUAGACAGCAAUGGGACCCCAUAGGCAACAACGGGGCCCCAUUGACCCCAUAGGCAAUGAUGGGACCCCAUAGAAACCAAUGGGACCCCAUAGAAACCAAUGGGACCCCAUAGGCAACAAUGGGACCCCAUAGACAGCAAUGGGAACCCAUAGAAACCAAUGGGACCCCAUAGGCAACAACGGG
ensembl:lncRNA